CCUACGGGAGGCAGCAGUGGGGAAUUUUGGACAAUGGGCGCAAGCCUGAUCCAGCAAUGCCGCGUGCAGGAUGAAGGCCUUCGGGUUGUAAACUGCUUUUGUACGGAACGAAAAAGUCUGCCCUAAUACGGUGGGCCCAUGACGGUACCGUAAGAAUAAGCACCGGCUAACUACGUGCCAGCAGCCGCGGUAAUACGUAGGGUGCGAGCGUUAAUCGGAAUUACUGGGCGUAAAGCGUGCGCAGGCGGUUAUAUAAGACAGAUGUGAAAUCCCCGGGCUCAACCUGGGACCUGCAUUUGUGACUGUAUAGCUAGAGUACGGUAGGGGGGGAUGGAAUUCCGCGUGUAGCAGUGAAAUGCGUAGAUAUGCGGAGGAACACCGAUGGCGAAGGCAAUCCCCUGGACCUGUACUGACGCUCAUGCACGAAAGCGUGGGGAGCAAACAGGAUUAGAUACCCUGGUAGUCCACGCCCUAAACGAUGUCAACUGGUUGUUGGGUCUUCACUGACUCAGUAACGAAGCUAACGCGUGAAGUUGACCGCCUGGGGAGUACGGCCGCAAGGUUGAAACUUAAAUUGAAUUGACGGCUUGNGAGNGCGAGACGACGACGAGGGAGAGG
rnacentral:rRNA from 1 species